rnacentral:rRNA from 1 species
UGCCAGCCGCCGCGGUAAUACGGAGGGGGUUAGCGUUGUUCGGAAUUACUGGGCGUAAAGCGUACGUAGGCGGAUUAAUAAGUUAGAGGUGAAAUCCCAGGGCUCAACCCUGGAACUGCCUUUAAAACUGUUAGUCUUGAGAUCGAGAGAGGUGAGUGGAAUUCCGAGUGUAGAGGUGAAAUUCGUAGAUAUUGGAUGGAACACCAGUGGCGAAGGCGAUUUUCUGGACUUAUAUUGACGCUGAGAUGCGAAGGCAUGGGUAGCAAACAGGAUUAGAUA